CUCCUACUUUUUUUCUUGCAGAUUUUAUGAGAUUAUUUAUUUAGACCCUGACAAAACAAAAUCUUCCUGUUAUUCCACCCCUGGCCCCAACACUGAUAAAAGUUUUUCCAGACUGUGCAGCCUCUACCAACCUGAAGCACUGGGCUACAAAGCUGAACUUGACUCUGAAUAGUGGAUUCCUGUGGAGGUGGUUAGUUCAGAGAGAUCACAUACUAGUCAAUAAUAUUUAUUUGAGGGCUUCUUCUGUGCUAGGCACAGUUCUCAGCACUUUCAUGUAAUAACUCAUUUACUCUUCACAACAAUCCUAUGAAAUAAGAAAUUUUAUUCUCCCCACUUUACAGGCACCAAAACUGGCAUAGAGAGGGUUAGCAACCACAUGGGGUGGCAGAGCUAUAACUGGUAGGUUGGGCUGGGGUUUAGAUUUCUGCAAUUUAACUCCAGAGCCUGUGCCCAUUCAAUGAAUGUUGUCCUGAAGACUUCCUCUCAUCUCCACCAGGCAGAGGAAGGAGCCCUGGGAAGUUUGAAUGUCAUACAUGGUAAGUCAGGUGCUCUGCUUUGGUUAGAAAGAGCUGGAAAUUGUCUCUGUUUGGGACAGAUCAGCAGUUUGUUAAUUCUCCUCUUGCUGUUCUCAGAAAGGGCCAUGGAGGAACUUGACCUACUGAAGGUGACAGGAGAUAAAGACUCUAGUUAGCCACCCACUGGGAACUUAUCUGAAAAGAGGAGAGAGGGGUGGGAGAGGGAGCUGCCACCUGACUGCCCAGCCAUGCUUCACCUGCCAGUUCAGUCAGGGGCUGUGUCUAACUUUUGUGGCCCUGGGAAAAUGUUGGGAACCUGGAGGGCCCCAUGCUGACACUCUGAAGUCUGGCAGUGCACUUACUGAUGGACAAAGUUGAUUGAGAUGACCAGGAGUUAGGAGUUGUGUUCCCUCAGUGGUAGGGAGGUGUGCGGCAUGGACUGAGUCAGUAGAGGGUGCUUUUGGGGAGAAGACAGUGGAGACCACGUUUCUGGGAUGGUUUGUAGGCUAGAUGGGCCUCCUUUCCCAUAUACACACCAAGGCAAGUUCCAUCCCUCUGUCUGAAUGUCUCUCUUGGUUAAUUCUUACUUUUGGAUUCUACUACCUACCUCUCUGCUUCACAGUUCCCAAGACACCAUUCAUUGCAGCUUUUAUACCCAGCACACCUAUAUCAAGUCAGGCAGUAAGAGACUCUCCCCAUCCCUCUUGCACACAGUGCACAGCUGAAUGUGGAAAGUGAAUCCCACUCUCCUUCAGAGAGCGGGGUCAGAGUACAGGGCAGUCCUGGGGCUAUACCUGGGUCAUCCUGACUGUUCCUGGGUGUACCCAGGUGAACCCUCAGAAUACAGUAUUUCUUCAGAAUUUCUUCAGGUGGGUAAACUGAUGUGAUAGGACCCUUUGCAGGUUAAUAAGUGUAAAAUGUCUGGCUCCCGGUAAGUGCUCAAUGUAUAUUGGCUUCUGCUUUUACUGCCAUUAUGAUGCUACCCCUCUAGGCAGGUAACUCUGCCUUCCUGAAUCUCAUUGUCCUCAUGUGCAAGGUUGAGGCAAUACUAUCUGUUUUAUAGGAUUGUUGUGAGGACUAAAUAGUGUUAAUUACUACUGUCAAGUUUGCAAUAAAUCACAGUGCUUCAUGGGUUGCUUUAGCCUAGUUUAUCUCCCAGGGGAUGACUUUAUUUCCAAACAGAAGACAGCUUCUUAGAAGAGCUUCAAAAUAUUGACCCUGGCUGGUGAGGGCAUUUGGACACUUAACUCAUCCAGCAUCCCUUUCCCAGCUGUGAACUGGUAUGAUAAUAACCACCUCUAGGAAUCUCCAAGAUGUUAUGAGGAGAAAAUAUGUGAUAAUAUACACAGCACUUUGAGCCCCUCUGAACAGAGACGCCCGUAAAUAGAAGGUGGUAUUAUAAGGUGGAGUAAUGGCUGGUGACUCCCCCUCCCUUUUUUAUUUAAUUAGGAGAAAACUAGUAAUUAGGAAGCAUGGCCUUGUGAAAGCUGUGGCCUGGGAAAUAGUUCUCUUGGCACCUAAUCAGAACUGUGACAUGGCACAAGUUUCUGCCAAAUGUGGCAGCAGGAGACCUCGCCCCGGGCUCAGAGACAGGUCUGGAGAUCGUGAGGAAUUCACUGUCUGGAGUGCAAGGCCCCGAGGUGGCUGACGCAGAGCCAGCUGGGGAGCCUCCUUGGUCUCCUGCUCCAGAGGAGAUCCCCACCCACAGGCCUCAGUGGCCUUCAUCCCUGGGGACUCAGAGUCCGUCUUAUCUGCAGGUUACAGCUUGCUGCAACCCCAGAAACAAGCUGUCCCACCAUGGGGCUCGUAAAAGAUGUCUGAUCUGGUUUGGUCUCUGAUUCCCUUGCUGGGACAAAGAGUUCUCUUUAAGAAGGGCCAGUGUGGAGGAGGCCUUUGAGCCCUAGCUAGCCCGUGUGCCUCUACUCUGCAGCAGCCUCAGCUGGAGCGACUUUCCCUCCUCCCUGCAAAUCCCCUAGGUGCUGCUGCAAGGUGGCCUUGGCCCGGAGGCCUCCCAGUCUUUCCAGUUCCAUUGCACUCAGGCCUUCUCAGCUCUGUUUGGUACAGUGUGGACUUUUGCUUUUUGUCCUUCAACUCUCCCACCUCUGCCUCCAUGAUGCUGGAUGGGGUGGGGAUGGAAAGUAAGUUGGGGAAGCAAAGUGUUCCCAGCCCAAGCUCCAGCACAGUGAUGUCACAGGGAACAUCAGCAGCAGGAUUGCUGGUGGGCUCUGACUUCCCCUCACCACAAUGACGAUACAGGCUAGAGGCUUUCUCAUAAACCCCGAAGAUAGCAGUUCCUUUUUUUCAGUUAUGAAUUAUAUUUUAAAGGUGCAGAAAAUAUAAGACACAUAUCACUCUGAUUACCAGUUGUUGACAUUUCUCAUCUUUGCUGUGGAUGUCUUCCUAUGUAUUUUUAAAAGUUUUCAAUACAGCUAAGUUUUCCACCUCUCCAGACCCUCCCUGUGGGUCCCCACUGGCCUGUCAUUUACCUGCACCUGUGGAUAGUACUCAGGGGACUGGAAAGUUGUUGAUUUUGUGCACAUCUUCUUCACCCACACAAGUCCUCUCAGGAAUGCCUCUCCACUCAGUCUCUUGUGGUGUGUGUGGCCGCCAUUAACUUGCACUUGGACCAUUUGCUCCUAUGGACAUUUUAAAGUCUUGGUCAGAUCAUAUGGCCCUUUGCUCCAAGCCUACACAUGGCUUCUUUUUCAACUCAGAGUAAAAUUCAAGCCCUGAGGACCAAUAGGACCCUAUGUGAUAGUAGCCUAUUCUUUGCCUCUCUGACCCCAUCUCCCAGGAUACAGCCUUCUUCCCCCCCUCCCUCAGGGGCAGCCACACUGCUCUUCUCAUUUUUCCUGGGACUUACUGUGGGCAAGGCUUCAGGCUGUUCCCCUGACUGUCACCCUCUUUCCCCAGAUACCUACAGGGCAAAACUCCAUAUUCUUCCAUUCAUUGCUCACAUUUCACUUCUCCCUGAACUCUAGGCAUAAGGCACUUAUAAAUAUAUCCCUCAUUCCCACCAUUCUCUCCCUUGUCUGGUCUAAUAUUUAUUUUUCCAUAGCAGGUAUUUUCUAGCAAAUUGUAUACUUUACUUAUUUAUUAUUUGUUGCCUAUUUCUGCCUACUACAAUGUAAGUUCCCCUAGAGUAGGAAUUUCUGUUGUUGAGGCACUAAUACUUCCUUCAUUUCUACAGUAGUGCCAGGCACACGGGGGCUCUACAAAGAUUUACUGACUGAUUCAAUAAGCCUAUGGAUAAAUGCAUCUGAGAAUUUCUUUCUGGAGACGUUCCAGAAUUCGUACAGAUUUUCCAGGGUGUCUAUGACACAAAAAAGGGUAGGAACCACUGACAUGAUCACCCAUCAAAGUUUGCUGACCUCCUCUGCUUCUCGGGAGUCUGCCUGAUGAAGAUUAUGAGCUUUUUAUCUUUCUCCAGUUUGUGUCUCCCUGGAGAGCUAAUCCUGGCAGCUACUGAGCCCUUCUCUCUGAGGACUGGUGGUAAGUCUCCCUGGAUCUAGCCCUGGCUGGACUGGGUAGGGAGCUGGGAGGCUUUGGUAGAGAGUGUGGGCAGGAGCUCUGGCAGUGGGCCUGCCUCAGAGAAGCUGUAAUUUUCCUAUUCCUUCUGUGGAGACGUCUGGGAGCAGAGGCUGAAUGUGGCCACGGCCUCUUGGGCAUCCUUGGGGGAGGUAGGCAAGAUGCCCAGAGCAACAGGAGCUGCUUCCUGCUUUGCAGGCUCCACACUAGGCAAGGAGCAAGACCAGGAAAUCUUGCAGGAGCCCCAGCCCAGGAAGAACAGACGCUAGCUUGUGAUGGGAGAGAGCGAACACAGAUGAGUGGGGGGAACCUGGAAAGCAAAGAGACACAAAAGGCCAUCUGGAGGUGAUAGUGGGAGUGAAUUGGAGGUGAGUCAGCCAGCUCACAGGGCAGUUAAAAGACAAGUGGGUAAUUGUGGGUGCAGUCGGCGGGUCACACAGAAAAUGAGGAACAAGUGGUUAAUUGGGCCCACAAGCCCAGGAUCCCGCCUAUAAUUAGCAAAUUGCAGGGCUUUGAUAUUUGCUUUGGUAACAACUUGUGUAGUAAAUUGCAGGGAGGAAAACUGCACCCCCAGCCUGGGAGGUGACCCUGUGUCUAUGUUCCCUGAACCAUUCUCUUACAAACACUGGCAAGCAGCACACACAUGAAUGUACCCCAGUGAUGGGGCUAGGGCUUGCACUUUUCUGCAGGUUGACAUCAUCUUCUGAUGCUUUCUGUGUUCCUCUGUACCCCAUGCAGAAGUUUUGCCAAUCAGGGCUAAAGCUGAAACCUAGUUUGCUGGGGAUAUGCUCUCACUAUUCCUCUGCUUCCUUAAGCCAUAGUCCCUGGGGUAAGAGACUUUCUGGACAGAGACAUGCCAUUGGAGUGGCCAUGGGUAAUUCCCAUGUGAGUGCCAUGUGAGGAGGAGAGACAGCAUUGUUGAGUUGUAUUCAUGAGGUUGGUUAAUGCCAAUCCCUGAUCAGGCACUGGCCUUCAUGGGUUUCAGCUCUGCAGGUAGCUCUGCAGAUAUUCCAACUAAAGUGCAGACUAGAAGCAUACAAAAUUUACACUGGGAUUAUCCAUGGCAAAACCCUACACAUGGUUGAAAUGCAGAGAUGAAUGAGCACAGAUGAUGCGAAAAUGCCAGGAGCCCUGGGUUUGAAAUUGGACUCAUUCUUGAUGGAUCUUGUGCAGUUAAAUAUUUAUACAUCAUCUUUGUCAUUUAUGGGUCUGUUUCUAUUGACUGCUUUUUCUUUUAGUUAUAGUUAUUUAUGUGUCUAGUAACUUUUUAUUAGAUGGUAGACAUUGUGCUGUUAUAUUAAGUAUUUGUACUGUGCUAUCUUCUUUUAAAGAGCAUUAGGCUUUGUUUUGGCAGGAAGUUAAGUCAUACAGGGAUGAGUUUGAUCUCUUUGAAUCCUAUCUUUAAGUUCUGCUAUGAAAGGCCUCGGUGAGUUUCCCUGCAGGAAUAGUUCAGCUACUUUAUUCACAUGUGACGACUCUGGGUUCUCCAUGGAGUGCCCAAGGGAUCAACAAGGACUCUUCACCUUUUCUGGUUGUUGCAUAAUCAUUUCCUCACCUUGUGAAAGCUCUGGAUUAUUCCGUUUACAACUCUUGUCAUUGUUAAUAGAUUAUUAUUUUGUCCUGGUCUUGUAGAGUUUCACUGGGCCUCCAACUUCCCAAAGAUUCAAAGGGAUAUUUUAGCAGAUUUAUGGCUUCCUUUUCUGUGUAUCUCUUUCCAUUCUGGAAUUGUGAGCCUCCCCUCCUAGCCACUUUAUCUUUCUCACUCUCUGUUCUCUGUCUCCUCAACUUAGUGAAGCUACAAAACUGUGCCCAUAGCCUAUAAAUUGUCUCCAAUCCUAAAGCCAGGAUUGUUUGGGGCCUGGUCUUGUUGAUGUCUUACCAAUCAAAAGUUAGCAUUGCCCAUUUCCCAAUGUCUGAAAACAGUAGUAAUUCUAUCAAGACUGGAGGUUUAAAUCUUAUCAGGUUAAAAUUCAGUCACCCCAAAUAUAGAAAGAGAAUAUACUACUAAUUUUUACUUAAAAUUCACUUAUGAUAAAUAAUGUACAUAAUGAAUCUGAAAGCACCUACAAACAUUUAAAAAUUGUUUUUGGAACAGUGUGGUAAGUCUCUUCAUCACCAUCAGCAUUUCCUUACCUGACUGGAUCAACACUGGAUUCGGCGGGAACACUCCUUGUGGACCAAGUGUGAUGGUGUCAGUCAUGAAUGAGACUGGAUGUGUAUCCCUCCCUGGCUACACCCAGAAUGGGUCUCUAUACUGUCUUUAUCAUCAUGGGAAUAAUUUCAUUGACUGUCACAUGUGGUUUGCUGGUGGCUUCUCACUGGUGAAGAGAAGUUACAAAAUAUGCCUAAUGGAUAGCACUCACUGGAAGUAGGUAGCCUGUGCUUACUAAGCUGUCUAGAAAGCUCUCUCUCUCAAAAUAAAUAGUAUUAUUAGUAUUAAUGAAGAAUCAGUAAUAAGGUCUCUUAUAAUCAUCAGAGAGCAACACUUCUCCACAAUGCCAUCAGUUCUUCAAAACUCUUAACAAGUCCAGACAUCUCCAACUGUAACUGCUUUGUAUGAAAUGCAAGUUUGAUGAAUCUUAUUUUUGCAUACAUUGUGACAUAAGUAUUCUGGUUUGUGACUCAGAGUAUUGUCUAUCAAAUCUAGAAUAAAAAUGCUCAUUUUCCUUUGAUACCAAUAAUAGCAAUGGAUUUAGCAUUUUCAUGAAAUACAAUUUAAAACUGUAAGGGAUUUGUCUUAAAAAAAAAGAUAAAGUUGGAUUGGCUCAAAUGCCUAAUGUUACAGAUAAGCAGACUGAGCCUUGGUGAGAAGAAGUGAAUUUCCCAGUCCUUGAUGACCUCUUAGUAAAAGAAUGAGACCGAAACUCAGGCGACCAAUUCCUAGUCUAUAGGCAUCCGUUCGUUCAGCUCAUAAUUACUGAGCAUCUACUAAGUUCAGAGUACUGAGUUACUUGAUAUAUGGACAAUAUAUAACAUGCUCAUUCACAGAAACAUUUAAAAAUUGAUUUUGGAACACUGUGGUAAGUUCCAUAAAUCAGCAUAUAAUUUUGAGCUUUCUUGAUUCUGACAAGCUUAAUCAGAGUAGCCUCCAUUGUCCAAUGCAGAAAUGCAAAAGGCUUUCAGCAUUCAGGUCCUGUGGGAUAUUUUGAGACAUAUGAACAUGUCAGGUAAUUACUGUGGUUUUAUGGCACUGUCAGACAUGGUUAUAGGAAAGCUAAGGAUUUACUCUAUAUGCAGCCAUUUCAGGGACCCAACGCAAAAUGGAUAAUAAAACUUUAAGGAAAUCGUUCAUUGAGUUGCAAGAUGUGAAGAGAGUGCUAUAUAAAAUGGACAGAGUCCUGGGCUCCAGACCUGAUUUCUCUGUGUCUAAGCAUUUCUGUGAGGUGAGUACAACAGAGUAGAUGACCUACAAUGCCCGUUCCAGGUUGGAGAAUCUGCAUACCUGGUGCUCUAUAGCAAGCCAUCUUAGUGACAUGCACAAAGAAGGCUGGGGAUGGUGGAUAGGACCUGAGUACCAAGAAUGUGGGAUGACAUUCUAGGGUUUAUUUAUUUAUUUUUGAGAUAGGGUCUUGCUAUGUUGCUAAGGUUGACCUCAAACUCAAGGUCUUCCUCCUAAGAAGCUGGAACUGGGGGCAUGUGCCAUCAUACCUGGCUCAGAAGAACAUUCUUAAUCAGAGGGGAAACAUUAGUAAAGGUGAUGAAGCAGGGAUAUGGCUAAAAUGGAAUUUGUGACCUGACCCACAUGGAAGGACUAGCCUCGCUCAGUUGGAUGUCUAGAAGAAUUUGAGGAUGCAUGAGCCAGAAGCCUUUCUUGCACCCAGUUUGAGAAGUUCUGCAUUAAAAGUUAAAAACUGUGAUUUGAACUGUUAAUUUAACAUCAGAGAUUAUAAAUGCAAAGUAUAAAUAAGACAGAUUAAAAUAGGAAGGAUUGAACAGAAGGUGGAUGGUUUUUAUAGAUCUAUAUAUUGGUAUUUUUUUCUUUUAAUUACCACUGAAACAAAGACAGAAAAUUUCAAGAUUAUUCAAUAGAACUGUUCUCCUCCCCCAAAACAACGCUCAGAGCUUUGCAGACUUCACUUUGCAAAAUGGCGUUGAAAGGGGCUGAUGGAAGAUGCCAGGGGAGGUGGUGAUUAGGAGGUCGUGGGAAGCCUGGGAUACCAGGCUUGAGGAUGGGUGGCAGUGAGCAUUUCUGUGUUCUCAGUCACAGUAUGGCGGCUGAACUGGAGAUUGGAAAGCAGAACUGGCACAGAGUCCAGGUGACAAGGAUGAAGCAUGGAAGGCUGAGGAGCCCGACAUAGGGUGAGUGAUGGAAGAAGCCCCAGAUGCACGGAUCCUGUUUGCUGAUUGACAUGGGGCUGAGGGAGGAGCUGUGUUGCUCCCUAGGCAUCCCGCAAUCACUUGGGGAGUGGUGAUUGUAGACUCCCUGAGGCUGAGCAGCAUUAGGCAAAGGGCUGGCGAGGUGGGCAAACCUGGGCUUUCAUAAGCCCAUUCUGUUUCUUCCAUGGUAAAAAAAUAAAAUAAAAUAGGUGACCGCACCUAUCUCUUGAGUUUAAUAACGACUGAUGAAUUAGUGUGUAUGAAAGUUCUGAGGACAUGUUGGUCACUUUGUAAGUUCUCAGUAAAUAUUUAUUUCAUUCAUCUGUCUAUUUACAAAUUCAGUGCAACUUGGGAGGGAAGUAAUUAGUUCAUUUAGGACCAUAUCAAACCGAUUCUGAAUAAAGAGAUUGUAUCUGAGGGGCUUUUUGUAGGAUGGGACCACUCCUAGUCACUAGGCUGUGCCAUACUUAAGGCUACAAAGUUCCAGAAGUCCCUUUCUUGACCUUCCUUUCAUUACCAACCCCUUACACUGUGGUGCGUUUCUAGGUCUGUAACUUAGUAAAUGACAAUAGCAAACAGAAACGAAGGACAGGAGCAACAUGAGGAAGGCAUGCGAUUGAAUUGAUACGUUUACUCCGUGAACCAUUCCGAGGACAUCUGCGGGAUGUGGCCAUCCUCCUCUUCUCUGUGGCUGGACAGGGCCGUCUGCCCUGAGGCCACAGAGUUGCCUGGUCUUGGGAGAUGCUCUCUCAGCUGCGAGUCUCCUGUGCCAGGAGCACUACCAGGCACCGUUUCUCAGGCCUCCUGAUCUCUGUUUGGUUUGCAUGUUGCUCAAAUCGGAUCCACCCUUCCAGGCUGGCCUUUUGCCUUUUUCUUAGGUCCAAGGGACCAAUGUCUGCAUACAGGUGAGGCACUUCGCUGAGUUGCUUUCAUCAUGACUGCCAGUGCUGUGUGCAGGGCUGCGAGCAAGCCACCACGCCACGCCAUGCAGCAGCACUGGCAAGAGAGUUGCAAGCACUAUAGCAAGAGCUGGGGGUGGUGACUGUGAGCUCCGUGGAAAAAGUAUCUUCAGUUGGACCUGGUGUGGACUUGGUUUGGUUUCCAAUGGCUCUAGUAAUCCCUGAGCCUAGUCUUCCAGCCAUAUCAAGCAGUGCACCCGACAUGUGAGCCAGGGCAUCUCAGACCCUGUGGACGAGCCACAUUCCAGCUGAGUACCUCUGACUAACCUCACUUGGUACCAGAAUCUCUCAGCAAGCCCAGUCUGAACCCUGACCCAGAGAACCAUGAGCCCUAACAAAAUGGUAGUGGUUUUAAACCACAAAACAUGGGGGUAGUUUGUUAUGCAGCAAUAGAUAACUAAAACACUAGACAUAAACGGAAGAAACUUUGCUGUCUGCUUUUGAUAAAUUUAGGACGAUUUUGUGUGAUUUACCCCAACCAUCUGUUUCUGUCCAUGAUAAUUUCAUUUUGCUCAAAAUUUGGAUCAAGUUACCUUUUAACGGAGCUAAACCUUCACCUGGGUUCACUGACAGCUUCCUGAGCCUCAGCAAAGCUUUCAGGCUUCCCAGCUGUGGCCAAGCUGGCAGUAGAGUCCCGCCUCCAGCUGCAGGCACACUCAAGCUUGCCCCAGCACCACAGCUGCAUGCAGCUACCUUCCACUGUGAUUUUGCAAAAAUUGCCACAAGUUGCAACUGUGGCUGCAGAAGUUAUUUUGCAUGGGCCUGGAUAAACAAUGUACAGAUGACAUUUUCUCAGGAGCCCCACAUACCACAAAGGGCAUCUUCGUAUUUGUUGUCUUGCCUUCCUCAGAGGCAGAGUGCAUUAUUUCUACAUGGCUGUGUCCACCAUCUACAGGGAGAUCUGGAACUAAGUCAUUUUAAAAUGAAUAGGAAGUCAAUGAGAAUUGAAUAAGACCAAGCCAUUGAACUGUUUUGUUUUAGCUCUGGCUUAGGCGAAGUCCCCAGUUCCUGAAUAGUAUAGGAAGGAGAGUAGGAGUGGGUAGUGCCCUCAGGAUCGAGUAAGUACCAGAAACGUGAGUGUCAUUCUUUCAGUAUGCCAACAUGACUGGCAUGGCUUCAUAGUCAGAGGGAUGUGGGUUCAGACCUGAGCUUACUAUGUACAUAUAAGAUAUGUAUUCUGAGCUUUAGUUUCUCAUUAGUCAAAUGGGUAAACCUUCCCUCAGUCAACCUCACAGGCAAUAUGAGGAUGUCUUAUUUGGGGCUUGAUAGAAGCAGACGCUGAGACAAGGCUAAGUGCAGGUGGUUUAUCAGGAAGAGGAGGGAUCAAAGGUGGCAGAGUGGGCACUGACAAGGAAAGGAUGACAACCAGCAAGAAGUUCAUUAUCAAGCCAGUUACCACGGUGGAAAUUGCAGCUUCAUCCCAAGGAAGAAUCUCCGCAAAGGUGUAGACUUGAUGAUUACUAUUCCCAUUUUACAGAUGAGGAAAUGGAAGUACAGUGAGAUAUUAGACAUCUUUUUCCAAGGUCGCAGUGCUAUCAAGUGGCAGAAUCAGAAUUUAAUCCAGGUUGCUGCCAUAAUAAUGAAAACACACACACAUGUAUUUCUCUAAAUUCACUGUAGAGCAUGGUGUCCAUGUCAUAAAUUAUUUUUUUCCCUUUCUGUACCAGCAUUCAACAAAGCAAAUAUUUGUAUAUGGCCAUUUGGAAAUUGGUAUUGAUAAAUAUACUAUUAUCAGCUUUAAAAACUUUAAUUAUAUAAUCCAGUUAUAUCAAAUUUUUAGCACAUCCAAGAGAUUGAUAGUAUACUGGUAGCUCUGGAGGGUAAUUGGGGAAUGGGUUUCACUGCUAAGGGCUACAGAGCUUCCUUUUUGCAGUGAGAAAAAAUAUUCUAAAAUAUGGAUGGUGAUGUUGCAGGACUUUGAAAAUACAAAAAAAAUGUUGAAUUAUACAUUUGAAAAGUAUGUGAUGCUUUUUUUGAUAUGUGAAUUUUAUCUCAAUAAAUCUGUUUUUAGGAAGAGAAAAUUAUAAGUAUUAAACUUUGUUCUAAGCAUUUCUUAAUAUAGUUCUUUCUAAAGGCAAAAUUCUGAAUGGAAAAAAAUAAAAUAAAAUAAAACCAGUAUCCACCCUUCCAGGAAUGUAAGAUACUGCUUCAUUCCAAAUGCCUGUGUUAGUCAGUUCUCUGUCAGUAUUAAAAAACAAAACAAAACUAAACUAAGAUAAUCAACUUAUGAAGAGAAAAAGCUUAUUUUGGCUCAUAAUUUUGGAGGGUUGAGGUCACCAGAGAUUUACCCCAUCACUUCUGGGCCGGUAGUGAGGGAGUACACCAUGGGAAGAGCACAUGGCAGAGAAAAAACAGCUAUGUCAAGGCCAGAAAGCAAAAGAGAGAAAGAAGAAGGGGAAGGGCCCUCUGAGGACACACCUCCAAUGACCUAAAGACCUCCCAUUAGGCCCGUCCUCUAAAAAGUUCCACCACCUCCCAAUAGCACCACGGGGGUGGGGGGGGACUCAGCCUUUAACACCUG
rnacentral:lncRNA from 1 species